GAUGAAGAACGUAGCGAAAUGCGAUAAGUAAUGUGAAUUGCAGAAUUCAGUGAAUCAUCGAAUCUUUGAACGCACCUUGCGCCCUUUGGCCAUUCCGAAGGGCAUGCCUGUUUGAGUAUCAUGAACACCUCAACUCUCAUGGCUCGCCAUGAUGAGCUUGGACUUUGGGGGUCUUGCUGGCCUGUGGUCGGCUCCUCUCAAAUGGAUCAGCUUGCCAGUGUUUGGUGGCAUCACAGGUGUGAUAACUAUCUGCGCUUGUGGUUUUCCAUCAGAUAACCUUCAGUGAUGGAGGUUCGCUGGAGCUCAUAAACGUCUCCCCUAAGCGGGGACAGCCCUUUGAAUAUUUGAUCUCAAAUCAGGUAGGACUACCCGCUGAACUUAAGCAUAUCAAUAAGCGGAGGA
rnacentral:misc_RNA from 1 species